CACUACUUUUUUUAACUAAAUUCGCACUCAUCCCGGAAACUGCAGGAACCGAAGUUAGACCGUACCACACUCUAAUUCCGCACCGCUUAUGUUAUCAAAACCGUGAUUACUAUUCGGAUCCUUAGUUUUACAUUUACGAUCCAAGACCCUCCUUCCAUUACUUAACAUUAAAUUUUCCAACUCUUGCUCUUUCGACUUUCUCUAAUUUGAUUCUAUAAAUAAUCAUGUCUACAUCAAGAAUUUCAUCACUCAAACAGCCUCCUUGCUAUUUCUCACUCACAAUCACAGUAAGCAGCAAUGAUAACUUAUCAGCUCUUGCUUCAGAGUUGAACCCGGCCACUGUUCUCAGGCUGCCAAUCGUCUUCUUUGUUUAUAGGAGACGAGUACCGUCAAAUGGCGGUGAGUUGAUGGGCCUCGAGAGCCUCGAGAUGCUCAUAACUGAUCAAAAGUGACAGCUCGAGGACAACAUUCACCAACAAAAGCCAUUCCAGGAGAAAUGUAUACAGCGGGAAAAGUGUUGCUGGUGUAGGAGAUAAGAAUAAAAGUUUUGCCCACAGCUCUAUCACCGACAUUGACGCACUUUAUAAUAUGUCGUAGAUGUUGUUGUUGUUGAUGCUGAUGCUGCAGACACAGAAGCUGAAAUUUAUUUGAGAUAUGAGAAUAGGACUCGCUGAUUUAGCUUCUCUUUCUCUUUUUGUGCACUUGGUUAAGUGUAGUUUGGUGGAUGUAUUUACCGUGUCAGCUUGGAUAAAUGGACUUGCACGUGUAUGAAGUUUAAGA